GUACAGUGCCAGGCAGUCCAAGGCAUCUAACUUGCUUGAGGGACUGCGGUACUUGCAUGCAUUGCUGGCUAAGACCAUCACUGGCAGGGGAGAUAGCGGUGGUGUAGUUACCCAACCGGACCUGUUUAUACUUUACAGCAUGCAUCAGUACCAAUCCAUCAACAUGGGAUAUUUAUUGGCCAGACAGAUCAGUGCCUUCC
rnacentral:lncRNA from 1 species